rnacentral:rRNA from 1 species
GAUGAACGCUGGCGGCGUGCCUAAUACAUGCAAGUCGAGCGAACGGACGAGAAGCUUGCUUCUCUGAUGUUAGCGGCGGACGGGCGAGUAACACGUGGAUAACCUACCUAUAAGACUGGGAUAACUUCGGGAAACCGGAGCUAAUACCGGAUAAUAUUUUGAACCGCAUGGUUCAAAAGUGAAAGACGGUCUUGCUGUCACUUAUAGAUGGAUCCGCGCCGCAUUAGCUAGUUGGUAAGGUAACGGCUUACCAAGGCAACGAUGCAUAGCCGACCUGAGAGGGUGAUCGGCCACACUGGAACUGAGACACGGUCCAGACUCCUACGGGAGGCAGCAGUAGGGAAUCUUCCGCAAUGGGCGAAAGCCUGACGGAGCAACGCCGCGUGAGUGAUGAAGGUCUUCGGAUCGUAAAACUCUGUUAUUAGGGAAGAACAUAUGUGUAAGUAACUGUGCACAUCUUGACGGUACCUAAUCAGAAAGCCACGGCUAACUACGUGCCAGCAGCCGCGGUAAUACGUAGGUGGCAAGCGUUAUCCGGAAUUAUUGGGCGUAAAGCGCGCGUAGGCGGUUUUUUAAGUCUGAUGUGAAAGCCCACGGCUCAACCGUGGAGGGUCAUUGGAAACUGGAAAACUUGAGUGCAGAAGAGGAAUGUGGAAUUCCAUGUGUAGCGGUGAAAUGCGCAGAGAUAUGGAGGAACACCAGUGGCGAAGGCGACUUUCUGGUCUGUAACUGACGCUGAUGUGCGAAAGCGUGGGGAUCAAACAGGAUUAGAUACCCUGGUAGUCCACGCCGUAAACGAUGAGUGCUAAGUGUUAGGGGGUUUCCGCCCCUUAGUGCUGCAGCUAACGCAUUAAGCACUCCGCCUGGGGAGUACGACCGCAAGGUUGAAACUCAUAGGAAUUGACGGGGACCCGCACAAGCGGUGGAGCAUGUGGUUUAAUUCGAAGCAACGCGAAGAACCUUACCAAAUCUUGACAUCCUUUGACAACUCUAGAGAUAGAGCCUUCCCCUUCGGGGGACAAAGUGACAGGUGGUGCAUGGUUGUCGUCAGCUCGUGUCGUGAGAUGUUGGGUUAAGUCCCGCAACGAGCGCAACCCUUAAGCUUAGUUGCCAUCAUUAAGUUGGGCACUCUAAGUUGACUGCCGGUGACAAACCGGAGGAAGGUGGGGAUGACGUCAAAUCAUCAUGCCCCUUAUGAUUUGGGCUACACACGUGCUACAAUGGACAAUACAAAGGGCAGCGAAACCGCGAGGUCAAGCAAAUCCCAUAAAGUUGUUCUCAGUUCGGAUUGUAGUCUGCAACUCGACUACAUGAAGCUGGAAUCGCUAGUAAUCGUAGAUCAGCAUGCUACGGUGAAUACGUUCCCGGGUCU